rnacentral:tRNA from 1 species
AGGGCGGUACUUUAAACAAAAGUUUUAAUUUGCAUUUAAAAGAAUGGGAAUACUCCCCCACCCUA